CAGUCGCCACGGUAAUACGUAGGGUGCAAGCGUUAAUCGGAAUUACUGGGCGUAAAGCGUGCGCAGGCGGUUAUAUAAGUCAGAUGUGAAAUCCCCGGGCUCAACCUGGGAACUGCAUUUGAGACUGUAUGGCUAGAGUGUGCCAGAGGGGGGUAGAAUUCCACGUGUAGCAGUGAAAUGCGUAGAUAUGUGGAGGAAUACCGAUGGCGAAGGCAGCCCCCUGGGAUAACACUGACGCUCAUGCACGAAAGCGUGGGGAGCAAACAGGAUUAGAUACCCGCGUAGUCCCUGUCUCUUAUAA
rnacentral:rRNA from 1 species